UCAGGGAUUUCCUCCGAGGAGUCAUUCGAAUCCUACGAGUCGGGAGAAGCCAAAAUACGACUUCAGUUAUGCCGUUCAGCACGAAGACUCCGGCAACGACUUCGGCCACGAGGAAGCCCGUGACGGCGACCACACUCAGGGAUCCUACUACGUGAGGCUUCCCGACACCCGUCUGCAGACUGUCAAGUACUUCGUGGACGGCGACUCCGGCUACGUGGCUGAUGUGAACUACGAGGGCGAGGCUCGUUUCCCCGACUCGUAUGAGUCUGCUUCCUUCGAGUCUGCUUCCUUCGAGUCCCGGGAGUACAGGCCACCAAGGCCAGUCUACACCUACGGCUCCAACGAGUCCAAGUAAACAUCCCUUUGGAAUCUUGACCACUGUUAACUGACAUGGACCAUUUGUAAAUUAUAUACUUAUUUAUUUAUUAAGACGAUCAAG